GGAGAGAUGGCUGAGUUGGUCGAAGGCGCACGAUUGGAAAUCGUGUAGGCGUUAAUAGCGUCUCGAGGGUUCGAAUCCUCUCUCUCCGCCA
rnacentral:tRNA from 1 species